CCCGUUAUCCGGGUUGCGGACAGUGUCUGGUGGGUAGUUUGACUGGGGCGGUCUCCUCCUAAAGAGUAACGGAGGAGCACGAAGGUUGGCUAAUCCUGGUCGGACAUCAGGAGGUUAGUGCAAUGGCAUAAGCCAGCUUGACUGCGAGCGUGACGGCGCGAGCAGGUGCGAAAGCAGGUCAUAGUGAUCCGGUGGUUCUGAAUGGAAGGGCCAUCGCUCAACGGAUAAAAGGUACUCCGGGGAUAACAGGCUGAUACCGCCCAAGAGUUCAUAUCGACGGCGGUGUUUGGCACCUCGAUGUCGGCUCAUCACAUCCUGGGGCUGAAGUAGGUCCCAAGGGUAUGGCUGUUCGCCAUUUAAAGUGGUACGCGAGCUGGGUUUAGAACGUCGUGAGACAGUUCGGUCCCUAUCUGCCGUGGGCGCUGGAGAACUGAGGGGGGCUGCUCCUAGUACGAGAGGACCGGAGUGGACGCAUCACUGGUGUUCGGGUUGUCAUGCCAAUGGCACUGCCCGGUAGCUAAAUGCGGAAGAGAUAAGUGCUGAAAGCAUCUAAGCACGAAACUUGCCCCGAGAUGAGUUCUCCCUGACUCCCUGAGAGUCCUGAAGGAACGUUGAAGACGACGACGUUGAUA
rnacentral:rRNA from 1 species